CCUACGGGUGGCAGCAGUGAGGAAUAUUGCACAAUGGGCGCAAGCCUGAUGCAGCGACGCCGCGUGGGUGAAGAAGGAUUUCGGUCUGUAAAGCCCUUUUCUGUGUGACGAGAGUGGACGGUAGCACAGGAAUAAGUCUCGGCUAACUACGUGCCAGCAGCCGCGGUAAAACGUAGGAGGCAAGCGUUAUCCGGAGUUACUGGGCGUAAAGCGCGUGCAGGUGGUUGAGUAAGUUGGUUAUGAAAGCUCCUGGCUAAACUGGGAGAGGUUGACCAAGACUGCUGAACUUGAGUGGAUGAGAGGUAAACGGAAUUCCGCGUGUAGUGGUGAAAUGCGUAGAGAUGCGGAGGAACACCAGUGGCGAAGGCGGUUUACUGGCAUCCAACUGACACUGAGACGCGAAAGCAUGGGUAGCGAACGGGAUUAGAUACCCUAGUAGU
rnacentral:rRNA from 1 species